AGCGCAGCUUGGUUUCUCAAUGUCUGAACAUCUCCCCUGGUCAGAUGAAGGAUGGAGUGCCAGUGCCCCUGAUCAUUGCAGCUGGAGGUGGCGGCAGGGCCUACGGGGCCAAGACAGACACGUUCCACCCAGAGAGACUGGAGAAUAACUCCUCGGUUCUAGGGCUGAACGGCAAUUCCGGAGCCGCAGUGAUGGAAGGCCACGGGGAAGUGAAUAUUAAGCAUUAUCUAAACUGCAGUCACUGUGAGGUAGACGAAUGUCACAUGGACCCCGAAAGCCACAAGGUCAUCUGCUUCUGUGACCACGGGACGGUGCUGGCGGAGGAUGGUGUCUCCUGCAUUGGUAAGGCGGGGAGCAGGGGAAGCAGAGGAGCUUAGAGCCUGAGAUUU
rnacentral:lncRNA from 1 species